AUUGAACGCUGGCGGCAUGCCUUACACAUGCAAGUCGAACGGUAACGGGCCUUCGGGUGCCGACGAGUGGCGAACGGGUGAGUAAUACAUCGGAACGUGCCCGAUCGUGGGGGAUAACGAGGCGAAAGCUUUGCUAAUACCGCAUACGAUCUACGGAUGCAAGCAGGGGACCGCAAGGCCUUGCGCGGACGGAGCGGCCGAUGGCAGAUUAGGUAGUUGGUGGGAUAAAAGCUUACCAAGCCGACGAUCUGUAGCUGGUCUGAGAGGAUGAUCAGCCACACUGGGACUGAGACACGGCCCAGACUCCUACGGGAGGCAGCAGUGGGGAAUUUUGGACAAUGGGCGCAAGCCUGAUCCAGCCAUGCCGCGUGCAGGAUGAAGGCCUUCGGGUUGUAAACUGCUUUUGUACGGAACGAAAAGCCUUCUUUUAAUACAGGAGGGUCAUGACGGUACCGUAAGAAUAAGCCCCGGCUAACUACGUG
rnacentral:rRNA from 1 species